rnacentral:snoRNA from 12 species
UCGAUAUGAUGAGUUCCACUUCAUGGUCCGUGUUUCUGAACCUAGUGAUAUUAAUGGAAGUUCUGAUUUC